AGCAUAUAAGUAAUUAAUAGAAAAUUGAAGAUCAGGACGCGCUACAACAAAAUCAUGAUUUAGCGGCAUUUACUCCGUAGCAUUUAUCUAAAUGAUGCUAAUUAAUAUAUUUGACGGUAUUGCUUGAUAAUUACCGCUAUAUUUAAUAAUUUAACUGUAAUUUACUAUUAAUGCUGCAAAAUAGAAUAAAUUAGCAGCAUAAAUUAGUGAAUGCCGCUGAAAUUUUCAGUAUUUUAUAAAACAUGAUACUAAAUGUUACAAAAUAGCAGAGCUUAUUGCUAAAUGCUGCGACAUUUACUCCUCAACAUUUAUUUGAAUUAUACUAAUUAAUAUAUUUAACAGCAUUACUUGAUAAUUGCCGCUAAAUUUAAUAAUUUAGCAGUAAUUUACUAUUAAUGUUGCAAAAUAGGAUAAAGUAGCAGUAUAAAUUAGUGAACCUCGCUAAAUGUAAUAAAGUA
rnacentral:lncRNA from 1 species